CAGCAGCACACAUCAUGAGGGCUGCUUUCAUUAUUUGGAAGACAGUGGACAUUAGCUGUAUCAACAAAGCAUUUGAAAAGUCUAAGUGAGACAUAAAUAGAAAACUACUAAGUUGCCAUUUAUCACCAUUUAUCAUCAUUGAUGCCAGACUGCAGUUUGACAUGAACUAAGAAAAUCAGAUGUUUCACUUAUAGACAUGGCUAUUUUCAGCAUUUCCUCAGCAUCUUGGAGGCAUCUGGACACAAGGGUAGAAACAAUAAUGACCAUUUAACCAUUCCAGAGUCCUUCUAGAAACACAAUGGCAAAAAAAGGCACUGGAUACAGUAGGAAGAGUUUGGAAAUUUAUAUUGGCUUUAACAGUGAGCAUUAAAUAUGCACUUCUGAAGGUUACAGUUAGCUCAAGAACAGGAGUCUCAAUG